UUUGGCGUGGAAUCCAUGUUUUCAGACAUGCCUUAGUUCUUAGAGAAGUUCUAAACUAGAAAUCAAUCUCUUUUUCAUUUGUGGUUUGUUGUUUUAGGUGAGAUGGAUGGCGAGGAACACAGUGAAAUUGAAUCUGCAGUAGAGUUGUUUUGGUGAAGCCUCUCACUGCUGAACUUCUGUUGGAAGCGAUCCAGACAACCAGUUCUAACUGAAAAAUGUGCCUAAACAGUGAAGCACCACCAGAUCAACAGUCCGGAGAUCAUAAAGAGUAGUAUCCAGAUGGCUUCCUGCACUUUUCUCCAAUAACAUAGUUGAAGGCUUCCUCCUACAAUUGUUCAGUCACCUGACAUAAAUGCACCGUAGUUCUGGAAAUGAGAAGGUAUUCCAUUCAUAUGAGUUUUUAGACCAUUUCCACCUUUUUGUCUGGAGAAUUCCACACUUGGAUGCUCAAACUACAUUUUGUUGUUGUUCAAUUUAUAUAGUCCUACAUAGUGACAUUGAUAAUUAGUGGAACAACUAGCUACUGUGCUGGUGAGUUUUUGUUCUGGAGAAGAUAAGUUCAAUUUAUAUAGUCCUACUUGGUGACAUUGAUCAUUCAUGUUAAUUGCACUUCUCUUGUUUCGGGAUGGAAAAAUCAGUACCUUGGAAGACAAGCAGGUGAGCUGUGGCCUGGACUCUGUACUUUGUAUAAAAUGAUAGGAUGAAACCAAAAUCUUAUUUGGUGCUUUAUCUACAAUGUGAUACUCAUUCAAAUUUGUUGUACUGCUCAAGUUGUUUAUAUUCUCAAACUUAAUUCUCAGAAGUGAUCCUUGCUUUCAAAAUUUGUCAGAUUUGAAGGACGUAUUCUAUGAGGAAAAGUUGGGUAAUUUUGAAUUUGUGAAGGAAAUAAC